rnacentral:rRNA from 2 species
GGACUACCCGGGUAUCUAAUCCCGUUUGCUCCCCUGGCUUUCGCGCCUCAGCGUCAGAAGAGGUCCAGCACGCCGCUUUCGCCACCGGCGUUCCUUCCGAUAUCUACGCAUUUCACCGCUCCACCGGAAGUUCCGCAUGCCCCUACCUCCCUCGAGACGGCCAGUAUCAAAGGCACUUUUCCGGUUGAGCCGAAAGAUUUCACCCCUGACUUGACCGCCCGCCUACGCGCCCUUUAAGCCCAGUGAAUCCGAACAACGUUCGCACGGUUCGUCUUACCGCGGCGGCUGGCAC